rnacentral:lncRNA from 1 species
CUCUUCUCUCUUCAAUUUCUUUCUCACCAAGUGUUUUUUCCUUUGGCAAUUUAAAUCUCUUCCAUCUAAAAAACAAAAAAACCUCAUUCUUGACAUUGUAUCUCCCUCUAGAUUCUACCAUACAGAGUUGUCUAUGAGAAUCUAAAUAAAGAAGCUUGGUGUUUAGCCAUUAAGUGGGAAAGAGCAAGGCCCUUCACUGGAGCUGAGGAAGGCACAACAGUGAGCAGAAACCAACUGGCCCCUGAUCUCAAGGAAUUCACAGCCCGGUAGGGAGGAGGACGUUAAUCCAAGGGUCUCACAAGUAAAUGCACAGUGCAGCUGUGAGAUGUGCUAAGGAGGCCAGGGUCUGAUGCUAGGAGAGUGUGCAUUGGAGCAAUUUGGUAUAGUCUGGGAGGUCGGGGAAGGAAUGCUUAAGUCAAGAGGGGGAACAGCAUGUGCAAAUGCCCUGGACUGUGUCCAGUAUCAAGAACUUGGCCAGUGAGGCUGAGCAGAGCCAGGAGGCUAGGGCCAUGGCAGAAUUGACCGGAGAGGCAACAAGUGCCAGACCACAUGGCUUUUACAAAAUUUGGUACCCACGUGCCACCCAAAAAGAUUUUGAUUCAGUU